CGGCGAGGCCGCAGCGUGACGUCAUCGGCGCGCCCCCGCGUGACGUCGCGAGCCACGACAAGGUCGCCGCUUGCCGCCUGCAUCGCCAACAAUCAACGACAUUCGGAGGCGCUGAAAAAAGCGGUUGUUCGGGAGAAAAUGUUGGCUCCCGCCGGCCCUGAUAAUGUGUACAAUGCUUCACGGGUCAGACAGGGCCGCCAUUUGCCUAGGCCUGGUCUAGAGAGACCAUAUCAGCGUAACCUUAACUAGUAGGUGAGCUCACGGGGCUCAAACCUGACGACGUUGCUAACACGAAACCC